rnacentral:rRNA from 1 species
CCUACACAUGCAGUCGAGCGGUAGCACAGAGAGCUUGCUCUCGGGUGACGAGCGGCGGACGGGUGAGUAAUGUCUGGGAAACUGCCUGAUGGAGGGGGAUAACUACUGGAAACGGUAGCUAAUACCGCAUAAUGUCGCAAGACCAAAGUGGGGGACCUUCGGGCCUCAUGCCAUCAGAUGUGCCCAGAUGGGAUUAGCUAGUAGGUGGGGUAACGGCUCACCUAGGCGACGAUCCCUAGCUGGUCUGAGAGGAUGACCAGCCACACUGGAACUGAGACACGGUCCAGACUCCUACGGGAGGCAGCAGUGGGGAAUAUUGCACAAUGGGCGCAAGCCUGAUGCAGCCAUGCCGCGUGUGUGAAGAAGGCCUUCGGGUUGUAAAGCACUUUCAGCGGGGAGGAAGGCGUUAAGGUUAAUAACCUUGGCGAUUGACGUUACCCGCAGAAGAAGCACCGGCUAACUCCGUGCCAGCAGCCGCGGUAAUACGGAGGGUGCAAGCGUUAAUCGGAAUUACUGGGCGUAAAGCGCACGCAGGCGGUCUGUCAAGUCGGAUGUGAAAUCCCCGGGCUCAACCUGGGAACUGCAUUCGAAACUGGCAGGCUAGAGUCUUGUAGAGGGGGGUAGAAUUCCAGGUGUAGCGGUGAAAUGCGUAGAGAUCUGGAGGAAUACCGGUGGCGAAGGCGGCCCCCUGGACAAAGACUGACGCUCAGGUGCGAAAGCGUGGGGAGCAAACAGGAUUAGAUACCCUGGUAGUCCACGCCGUAAACGAUGUCGAUUUGGAGGUUGUGCCCUUGAGGCGUGGCUUCCGGAGCUAACGCGUUAAAUCGACCGCCUGGGGAGUACGGCCGCAAGGUUAAAACUCAAAUGAAUUGACGGGGGCCCGCACAAGCGGUGGAGCAUGUGGUUUAAUUCGAUGCAACGCGAAGAACCUUACCUGGUCUUGACAUCCACAGAACUUUCCAGAGAUGGAUUGGUGCCUUCGGGAACUGUGAGACAGGUGCUGCAUGGCUGUCGUCAGCUCGUGUUGUGAAAUGUUGGGUUAAGUCCCGCAACGAGCGCAACCCUUAUCCUUUGUUGCCAGCGGUCCGGCCGGGAACUCAAAGGAGACUGCCAGUGAUAAACUGGAGGAAGGUGGGGAUGACGUCAAGUCAUCAUGGCCCUUACGACCAGGGCUACACACGUGCUACAAUGGCAUAUACAAAGAGAAGCGACCUCGCGAGAGCAAGCGGACCUCAUAAAGUAUGUCGUAGUCCGGAUUGGAGUCUGCAACUCGACUCCAUGAAGUCGGAAUCGCUAGUAAUCGUAGAUCAGAAUGCUACGGUGAAUACGUUCCCGGGCCUUGUACACACCGCCCGUCACACCAUGGGAGUGGGUUGCAAAAGAAGUAGGUAGCUUAACCUUCGGGAGGGCGCUUACCACUU